rnacentral:rRNA from 1 species
UACGGGGGGGGCAAGCGUUGUUCGGAAUUACUGGGCGUAAAGGGCUCGUAGGCGGCCCUCUCAGUCGGAUGUGAAAUCCCCAGGCUUAACCUGGGAACGGCAUCCGAUACUGGAGGGCUUGAAUUCGGGAGAGGGAUGCAGAAUUCCAGGUGUAGCGGUGAAAUGCGUAGAUAUCUGGAGGAACACCGGUGGCGAAGGCGGCAUCCUGGACCGGCAUUGACGCUGAGGCGCGAAAGCCAGGGGAGCAAACGGG